AAUUCAUCAUAGUUGUGAUUGAUAAGAAAGUAAAUAUUUUUAUCAACUCAAAGUUUGUAUAGGCCAAGACUAGAGAAAUCUAGCUCUAAAUGUUGGCAACAAUGUCUUAAAUAAAAAUAAAGAAGGAAGGGUGCCUGUCACCUGCAGUUUCAAUGUUAAACAUUCAUUUCUUAUCAAUCACAACUAUGAUGAAUUGAAAAUUAGGAAGACCUCUUCAACCUAUAAGAAGAACCUGAAUUUUGUUGUGUCCUUAUUGUCUGAAACUAACACCACAAUGGUUAGAGAAUGACAAUGCUCCACAACAUGCCUAAAACUGGAACUGCAUUUGGGAAGUGUAUCCAAGAGCCUCUAGGUGAGCAGCCAUGGCCUUGUUCAUUGGUGGAGGACCACACCUUAGUAUCUGAACAUCUGCUGCUGGUGGUGGGCAGUGGGUUUGAAUCAUUUCCUUGGAUACAAACCCCAUGCCACCAUCCCAUCCUUGAGGAGGCUGAUUCAGAACAUAGUAGACUCUGAAGCGGUUAGGAAAAUUGUUUGCAAGGUCAUCCAGCUCUUCCUUUAAAAGAAUGUCCUCGUAUGUGACAUUGGCAUAAAUAAGAUGUACAUUGGUCUUGUCAUUGGGAUUUUCCACUAUGGCCCUAGUAACUUGGAACAUUGGAGUUAUUCCAGUACCCCCAGCAAGCAUCCCAAAAGCUCUAACUUGGUUAGGUUGAUACUUGAAGCGCCCCUUGGGUCCCUUCACAGCCAAGUAAUCACCUUCACACAUCUCUCGAAAAUGGUGGGAUAUCCUUCCUUGUGGAUACAUCUUUAUAACUAGUUCAAAGUAACCAAGAUCAGAGUCCAAAGUUGUGGGAGUAUAUGGCUUGAUAACUUCUUCACCAAGACUGUCUUUUCCUCUGCAACUCAUAUGUUGUCCAAUUGGUAGUCCCAAUACCGAAGUUGGUGUGGGAAGAGCAAAUUUAAACUUAGCUACAUUAUGACUGAGUUGGGUGCGCUUAACAAGUUUGAAUUCCUUGAAGUUUUCAGGGUCCAAGCAACCUUUAGGUUUCUUGGUGGUGAUAUAGAAAUAGUAGGCGGUUCCCGCACCGAUGGCCAAGAGUGCGACGGCGAUGCUUAUCAUCUCCGCCUUGUGAGACUUAAAACUCUCCAUUUCUGGAACACAGAGAGAAACAAACGUUUCAGCACUGGAGGUUUUUAAUUUCCCC
rnacentral:misc_RNA from 1 species